AUUGAACGCUGGCGGCAUGCCUUACACAUGCAAGUCGAACGGUAACGCGGGGCAACCUGGCGACGAGUGGCGAACGGGUGAGUAAUGCAUCGGAACGUGCCCAGUAGUGGGGGAUAACUGCUCGAAAGAGCAGCUAAUACCGCAUACGACCUGAGGGUGAAAGCGGGGGAUCGCAAGACCUCGCGCUAUUGGAGCGGCCGAUGUCAGAUUAGGUAGUGGGUGGGGUAAAGGCCCACCAAGCCAACGAACUGUAGCUGGUCUGAGAGGACGACCAGCCACACUGGGACUGAGACACGGCCCAGACGCCUACGGGAGGCAGCAGUGGGGAAUUUUGGACAAUGGACGCAAGUCUGAUCCAGCCAUGCCGCGUGCGGGGAGAAGGCCUUCGGGCUGUAAACCGCUUUUGUCAGGGAAGAAACGCUCUGGGUUAAUACCUCGGGGUAAUGACGGUACCUGAAGAAUAAGCACCGGCUAACUACGUGCCAGCCGCCGCGGUAAGAC
rnacentral:rRNA from 1 species